UACAGAGGAGGCAAGCGUUGUUCGGAAUCACUGGGCUUAAAGCGCGUGUAGGCGGCCUGGUAAGUACCCUGUGAAAUCCCUCGGCUUAACCGUGGAAUCGCAGGGUAUACUGCCGGGCUUGAGGCGGAUAGAGGUGCCUGGAACUCUAGGUGGAGCGGUGAAAUGCGUAGAUAUCUAGAGGAACGCCCGUGGCGAAAGCGGGGCACUGGGUCCGAUCUGACGCUGAGACGCGAAAGCGUAGGGAGCAAACGGG
rnacentral:rRNA from 1 species